AGCAGCCGCGGUAAUUCCAGCUCCAAUAGCGUAUAUUAAAGUUGUUGCAGUUAAAAAGCUCGUAGUUGAAUUUCGGGAUCAGUACGCCGGUCGUGCCUUAGGUAUGUACUAGUGUCACUGAUUCCUCUCUUCUGACGAACCGUCAUGCUAUUAAUUUGGUGUGGCGGGGAAUCAGGACUGUUACUUUGAAAAAUUAGAGUGUUUAAAGCAGGCUCGCGCUUGAAUACAUUAGCAUGGAAUAAUGAAAUAGGACGUUUGAUCCUAUUUUGUUGGUUUCUAGGAUUGACGUAAUGAUUAAUAGGGAUAGUUGGGGGCAUUAGUAUUCAAUUGUCAGAGGUGAAAUUCUUGGAUUUAUUGAAGACUAACUACUGCGAAAGCAUUUGCCAAGGAUGUUUUCAUUAAUCAAGAACGAAAGUUAGGGGAUCGAAGACGAUCAGAUACCGUCGUAGU
rnacentral:rRNA from 1 species